rnacentral:rRNA from 1 species
AGGACGAACGCUGGCGGCGUGCUUAACACAUGCAAGUCGAGCGGAAAGGCCCUUCGGGGUACUCGAGCGGCGAACGGGUGAGUAACACGUGAGCAACCUGCCCUUAGCUUCGGGAUAGCUCCGGGAAACCGGAAUUAAUACCGAAUAUGACUGCGGCUGACAUCAGCCACGGUGGAAAGUUUUUCGCUUCGGGAGGGGCUCGCGGUCCAUCAGCUUGUUGGCGGGGUAACGGCCCACCAAGGCUACGACGGAUAGCUGGUCUGAGAGGACGAUCAGCCACACUGGAACUGAGACACGGUCCAGACUCCUACGGGAGGCAGCAGUUGGGAAUCUUGGACAAUGGGGGAAACCCUGAUCCAGCCAUGCCGCGUGAGUGAUGAAGCCUUCGGUUGUAAACUCUUCGACGGGACGAUAAUGACGGUACCCGUAGAAGAAGCUCCGGCUAACUUCGUGCCAGCAGCCGC